rnacentral:rRNA from 1 species
GAAUGUACGAGCGCUCGAUUUCAGGGUAGCAAUAUUCUGAGGUCGGAGCCGGCUGCAAGGGUGAGUAACACGUGGGUAAUCUGCCAUGAAGUCUGGAAUAACUUGCUGAAAGGCGAGCUAAUACCGGAUGUGAACAUCGAGCGGCAUCGUUUGAUGUUCAAAGCUGGGGACCGUAAGGCCUGGCGCUUCAUGAUGAGCCCGCGGCCUAUCAGCUAGUUGGUGAGGUAACGGCUCACCAAGGCUAAGACGGGUAGCUGGUCUGAGAGGACGACCAGCCACACUGGAACUGAGACACGGUCCAGACACCUACGGGUGGCAGCAGUCGAGAAUUUUUCACAAUGGGGGAAACCCUGAUGGAGCGACGCCGCGUGGGGGAUGAAUGGCUUCGGCCCGUAAACCCCUGUCAUUCGGGAUCAAUGCGUUUGGGUGAAUAUCCCAAACGUUGAUAGUACCGGAAGAGGAAGGGACGGCUAACUCUGUGCCAGCAGCCGCGGUAAUACAGAGGUCCCAAGCGUUGUUCGGAUUCACUGGGCGUAAAGGGUGCGUAGGUGGUCGGGUAAGUCUGAUGUGAAAUCUCGGAGCUUAACUCCGAAACGGCAUUGGAUACUAUUCGGCUUGAGGGUUGGAGGGGGGACUGGAAUUCUCGGUGUAGCAGUGAAAUGCGUAGAUAUCGAGAGGAACACCAGUGGCGAAGGCGAGUCCCUGGACAACUCCUGACA